CUGGAGGUAUCAGAAGUGCGAAUGCUGACAUAAGUAACGAUAAAGCGGGUGAAAAGCCCGCUCGCCGGAAGACCAAGGGUUCCUGUCCAACGUUAAUCGGGGCAGGGUGAGUCGACCCCUAAGGCGAGGCCGAAAGGCGUAGUCGAUGGGAAACAGGUUAAUAUUCCUGUACUUGGUGUUACUGCGAAGGGGGGACGGAGAAGGCUAUGUUGGCCGGGCGACGGUUGUCCCGGUUUAAGCGUGUAGGCUGGUUUUCCAGGCAAAUCCGGAAAAUCAAGGCUGAGGCGUGAUGACGAGGCACUACGGUGCUGAAGCAACAAAUGCCCUGCUUCCAGGAAAAGCCUCUAAGCAUCAGGUAACAUCAAAUCGUACCCCAAACCGACACAGGUGGUCAGGUAGAGAAUACCAAGGCGCUUGAGAGAACUCGGGUGAAGGAACUAGGCAAAAUGGUGCCGUAACUUCGGGAGAAGGCACGCUGAUAUGUAGGUGAAGUCCCUUGCGGAUGGAGCUGAAAUCAGUCGAAGAUACCAGCUGGCUGCAACUGUUUAUUAAAAACACAGCACUGUGCAAACACGAAAGUGGACGUAUACGGUGUGACGCCUGCCCGGUGCCGGAAGGUUAAUUGAUGGGGUUAGCCGCAAGGCGAAGCUCUUGAUCGAAGCCCCGGUAAACGGCGGCCGUAACUAUAACGGUCCUAAGGUAGCGAAAUUCCUUGUCGGGUAAGUUCCGACCUGCACGAAUGGCGUAAUGAUGGCCAGGCUGUCUCCACCCGAGACUCAGUGAAAUUGAACUCGCUGUGAAGAUGCAGUGUACCCGCGGCAAGACGGAAAGACCCCGUGAACCUUUACUAUAGCUUGACACUGAACAUUGAGCCUUGAUGUGUAGGAUAGGUGGGAGGCUUUGAAGUGUGGACGCCAGUCUGCAUGGAGCCGACCUUGAAAUACCACCCUUUAAUGUUUGAUGUUCUAACGUUGACCCGUAAUCCGGGUUGCGGACAGUGUCUGGUGGGUAGUUUGACUGGGGCGGUCUCCUCCUAAAGAGUAACGGAGGAGCACGAAGGUUGGCUAAUCCUGGUCGGACAUCAGGAGGUUAGUGCAAUGGCAUAAGCCAGCUUGACUGCGAGCGUGACGGCGCGAGCAGGUGCGAAAGCAGGUCAUAGUGAUCCGGUGGUUCUGAAUGGAAGGGCCAUCGCUCAACGGAUAAAAGGUACUCCGGGGAUAACAGGCUGAUACCGCCCAAGAGUUCAUAUCGACGGCGGUGUUUGGCACCUCGAUGUCGGCUCAUCACAUCCUGGGGCUGAAGUAGGUCCCAAGGGUAUGGCUGUUCGCCAUUUAAAGUGGUACGCGAGCUGGGUUUAGAACGUCGUGAGACAGUUCGGUCCCUAUCUGCCGUGGGCGCUGGAGAACUGAGGGGGGCUGCUCCUAGUACGAGAGGACCGGAGUGGACGCAUCACUGGUGUUCGGGUUGUCAUGCCAAUGGCACUGCCCGGUAGCUAAAUGCGGAAGAGAUAAGUGCUGAAAGCAUCUAAGCACGAAACUUGCC
rnacentral:rRNA from 1 species